rnacentral:rRNA from 1 species
UACGUAGGGUGCGAGCGUUGUCCGGAAUUACUGGGCGUAAAGAGCUCGUAGGUGGUUUGUCGCGUUGUUCGUGAAAACUCACAGCUUAACUGUGGGCGUGCGGGCGAUACGGGCAGACUGGAGUACUGCAGGGGAGACUGGAAUUCCGGGUGUAGCGGUGGAAUGCGUAGAGAUCCGGAAGAACACCGGUGGCGAAGGCGGGUCUCUGGGCAGUAACUGACGCUGAGGAGCGAAAGCGUGGGGAGCGAACAGG